CGGUAUUACUAACGAACGAUAUUCAGAUGUUCUUUUGUGGGUAUAAAUACCCACAAUAAAUUUUUAAAUGUCAGUUCCUUUGUUUACUAUCUUGUUUCAUUGUAGUUUGUAGGUACCUGAUAAAAUAGUACAGAAAUAGUAGUUUUUAUCUUAGAUUCUUUCUCUUCUGAUAGAUAUUGAUUGCCGGCAUCCACCCUGCGUAGCGUCCAUUAUGUUUCAUAUUCAUAUCUUUGAACUUGCUAUCAAGCAUUUUCUUACCCAUAUAAACCAAGGGUUCCCAACCCAACAACCAAGACCAAAAUGGUAUUUGAUCAACACAAAUUGAUCAAGGACCAUUUUUUAUCAUGGCUAUUAAAAGUUAGGCAAAGACAAUAAUAAUUCUACAUAUGAUUGAUUCACGUGGUCCUCCAUAGGAUUUCCUCCACAAUUAUGGGCCGGAGCUGCACGGUAACCCACUAGUUUGUCCGCAGCUCUGGGUCGGGGCUCCUCAGCUAUUGGUCAGGUCCUAGGCGUUCUCCUGGGAUAUGCAGACAUGCUCGAGGGCAGUCGAUAUAGAUGCGGUUGCGUGGAACCUGCCUGCUACCUGAAAGCAGCAUGGAAGUACGAUUCCGGGAUGUACCCGAGGACAGUCAGCGUAGGUCCUAGGCGUUCUCCUGGGAUAUGCAGACAUGCUCGAGGGCAGUCGAUAUAGAUGCGGUUGCGUGGAACCUGCCUGCUACCUGAAAGCAGCAUGGAAGUACGAUUCCGGGAUGUACCCGAGGACAGUCAGCGUAGGUCCUAGGCGUUCUCCUGGGAUAUGCAGACAUGCUCGAAGGCAGUCAAUAUAGAUGCUACACUGUGUCAGCAUUAUGGAAGCUGUGUCCACCGCUAACACAAACACGGUCGCCUUAACGUGGCCACGGACGUGACGACGGAGAAGACUAUGGAAAUGCUCUCCUGAGAUCCCGGAGCACUCGAUUCUGAUUUCGCCAAAGACUGCCGACAUUCUUCAGAACGACGGCUUUCGGCGACAUUUUGAGGAUAAAGGUAUUAAUUGCCGCAUUGUUGUCAUAAAACAUGUUAGCAUAGAAGCAUAAGUAUUUUUUACGGUAUAAGCCAGUGUCCAGUUACAUAAUAUUCCUAUAUAUAUUAAGAGCAAUAAAUAUGUUUAAUUGGAGAA